UGAAGAUUGGUCCAUAGUCUUUUCAUCAACAUUGUAGAGCCUCUUGAGAACCACAUUGUGUAUGGUGGAAAUCUCCUUUCAACACCAUCAAAGCUAGGGCUUCAUCUCCUCUUUCUUCAUCAAACAUUGAGGUAAAGAUGUAGUGAUUCCGCCGAGCUGAGAGCGUGGAUAUGUUUUGAGAAGAGUAUAUUACUCUUUUAUUUUGUUGUAAAUUUUUGUAAAGCCAAGGGCUAACAUGUAUGGGUCUGGUGGAUCAUUUUGGUGUAACCAGGCUCAUGCCUUGGAACUUGUAAGCCCUUGAGGGCCUAUAUUCAUUUUGGUUUAAUGAUUUCACAUGCUAUAGAUUCAUGUGCUAGCUUCGAUGAAUGUAUAUUUGCAUGUGAGAUUACUUUUGUAUAAACACUUGGAGUUAUGUAAUAGAAUAUGGUGAUUGCGACCUUCCUGUAUC